rnacentral:lncRNA from 1 species
CUGGAUCGGGAGGAUUCCACCUGUUUUUGCCUCUCUCUGGCUUCUGGAAAGUGCUCCUUCAUGACAUCCCCUAUCUGCAUAGUUCAAGCACCCCAAAUCUGCCCCUUCCUCCUUAAAGACUGGUAGAUGGGAUCAGCUCCCAGGUUACCCUCUCUCCCCAUACCCUCUUCCAAAAGAAACAAAAUGUUAGGGCUUUCCCCGUCGUUGUCUCUCCUUUUUUUAAAAAGUGGUAUUUUUUAGAAAUACAUGUGGAAUACCAAGAAAUGUCUUUGCCUCCCCACCACUCUCACCUACAUUUCAUAAAGCUGGCUCUUUAUGUUGCUUUACAUGGCCUUAAUAUAUGUUUUAUGGAAGUGAUCAUGUCAUAGUAUCCAUGUAAUAUAUUUGUCUGGAUGUCAACCCUUUCCUCAGCUCCUGCCCCAACCUGUUUUUCUGUCCACGUCAUUUUUAGCAUAUUCAAGCCACACCCCUUGCCUUUUUGAUCCAAAGAAGGGGAGAGGAAAGAUUUAUUUUAAAGGCAGACCUAUUCUAUGCUUUUGUUUAAAAAGCAGAUCUAUUUUCAAAAUGUGCAAUGUCUGAAAGGGAUUGGUGAUGUGUGAGGGACCGGGGUGGCCGUCCCUGGUCCCAGUCUGUGUCCCUUCCUCUACCCCAGUGGCUUCCCUCCCAUUACCCAGUCAUUGUAAAGGGCUGGUCCCCAGGUUCGCCCGGACUGCAUCCUGCAGGAAAAGGACAUUCCCUCGAAUGUCCUGGUCUAAGAAUUUGACUUUACUGUCAACUUUAGGAAGCAGACCAAGGGAUGCCAAGCACGUGAGGGAAGCGGGUCGGGCAUCUGAGGGAAUGUUUACAAGUACAGACGUGCAGUCCCCACAUGGCCCCUGGACCACCUCCCAUCACCCCUCUGUGAGAAAAGGCCAACAGGUUGCUGGCAGCCAUCUUGAAGGAUGUCAGUCUGCUCCCUGACAGACCCAAGACACCAGGUGGAUCCCUGAGAGUGGGUUGGGGACCCCCUGUGUUCUUUGGUGAAUACUAGGAGCUGCCUGGGCCUCUCACAGUUUCUCCUGAGCCCACUCUGUGUCAUACCUAUUUCCCUCUAAAACUUUUUUUUCCUUGGAGUUAUGGCACAUCGGUCUGGCAUCCAGACUUGAAGCCUGGUUCCUGGCUGGGAAGAGCCCCCACAGUCAAUGUCAAAGCCUAAAUCUUUCCCAAGAAGGAGCCCUCUGUGCUUUGACAGGCUGGGGGCUGGAGUUCUGCUGUGGCAGCUCAGCUCGGCAAGCUUGCUUUCUGACAGGUGAUGUGAGCAAGGAGGUUGGGAAGCUUACAGACCUCUCCCCAGAUCUGAAGUGAUGUGUUUGGGAAUUUGACAGCACUUCUGGCCGGCUUUUGAAGCCUGACCUCCAACUCUGGCAUUUGUUGGCCCUCUUCCCAGACUGGAAGCUCUUGCUGUGAGUGAACAGGGCCCAGGCAUAGGCCUAGGGCUAAGCACCCCAUCUGGGGAAAGUCCUGGCCACCCACACAGGGCCUUCCCAGUGAACACAUUACCUCCUCCACCAAAAAAGCCAAAAGGCUGUGAUCAGAUCAGAUACUGCUACCGUCACUUUAAAAGGAUUGUUCUCAGGAAGCAAGCUUGCAAGCAGCAAGUGUGCUCUCCUGCCUUUGUGAAAGGCAUGUUCUUGGGGCAAGGCUAUUGCAAGAUGGAAUCCUUUCCUUCCCCAUUAGGCACCCUCCUCCUGGCAGCUCUUUAAACUAAGGAAAAAUACUAUAUAUAAAUAUAUAUAUACAUAUCUAUUUAUGCACAUAUUUGGGGCCAAUUUGGUUUGCUAGUGUUAGACAAUAAACCAUACAAGGAAAUCUAUGCUCUCAGUGUCUUUAUUUAGUAUGGAAGUGACCUUAGACAAAGAGUUAAGGUUAGAUGAGCAGCCUCUCUGUUGGGACCACACCGUGGUAGCAUCCCCUGAGCAUCUGUCUAGCCGACCACCCUCCCCUGGAGAAGGGUCGCCUGGCUGAAGUAGGUGAGAACUUGCUCCCUCCAUUCAGUGGCGGCAAUCUUACUGGAUUAGGUAGGAAGAACCCCAGGGAGCUCUGAUUUGUAUCUUGCAAGUUUGUAUAAACCAAUACCGGAAAUAAAAUGAGUGGUUUGU